rnacentral:tRNA from 1 species
GGAUUGAUAUUAUAUUUGAGUAUUUAAGGUUGUAAACUUUGAGGUAGUGUUUUCGCUUUGGUUCA